GGGGCGGCGUCGUGACGACCGCCUUCUGGAGCUGCGCCGCCGACGCCUGGCUCGCCGGCUUCUCCGGAUCGGACGGCGGCCUGGUGUUCCUACCCCUCGAGGUGGCCGCCUGCAACCACAGCCUGGUGCUACUCCCGGCGGGCAGGACUUGCACUCGCCACCACGCACAGUGCGAACGGGCGUCGGCGGACAACUACACGUGCUGGUGUGUGGGGGCGGGCGAUGCUGUGGCGGCUGGAGCGGGGGCGGCG